rnacentral:rRNA from 1 species
GGCCCAGACUCUUAUGAGAGGCAGCAGUGGGGAAUCUUUAGCAAUGGGGGCAACCCUGAUCCAGCAAUGCCGCGUGGGUGAAGAAGGCCUUCGGGUUGUAAAGCCCUGUUGGCAGGGAAGAAAUCGGCCGGCAGAAUAACCCGGCUCGAUGACGGUACCUGCAGUAAGAAGCCCCGGCUAACUACUGUGCCAGCAGCCGCGGUAAUACGUAGGGUGCGAGCGUUAAUCGGAUUUACUGGGCGUAAAGCGUGCGCAGGCGGCCCGUUAAGACAGGUGUGAAAUCCCUGGGCUCAACCUAGGAAUUGCGCUUGUGACUGGCGGGCUCGAGUACGGUAGAGGGGGGUGGAAUUCCUGGUGUAGCAGU